rnacentral:lncRNA from 1 species
UUUUGUUUUUGUUUUUGUUUGGUUCUUGCUUUAUCAGAUGCCAAUUUCUUCGCAUCAAUAGCUUUAUUUUUGUUCUUCUUUUUUGUCUGUGACAUUUCUCAGGCUCUGGACCGGUGCCGGGAUCAGUUGCCGGCGGCAAGAAGAAUGUGACGGCGAGUUCGGAUGUUCCGGCGGCUCCGAAGAACACUGCUGAUGGAGGAAAAGCAUCUCUUCAGCCGAAACGCACACCUGUCUCCGACAAGGAAAUUGAAUCCAUAAUGGUGAGUGAAAUUAAUAACUCUUAACAAAACGCUUUCAUUACGAAAAUGGAAAGAAAAAGAAAAACAAUUCAUAAUAACUCAACUAUGAAUUUUGCAGUUGGGUGGUUGCAUCUGACAUUCCUGUAUUUGAAGAUAUGAUCGACACUUUGGGUUCUAUCUCUUUUCGGCUGGUGAAGUUU